rnacentral:rRNA from 3 species
ACGGGUGAGUAAUGCCUAGGAAUCUGCCUGGUAGUGGGGGACAACGUUUCGAAAGGAACGCUAAUACCGCAUACGUCCUACGGGAGAAAGCAGGGGACCUUCGGGCCUUGCGCUAUCAGAUGAGCCUAGGUCGGAUUAGCUAGUUGGUGAGGUAAUGGCUCACCAAGGCGACGAUCCGUAACUGGUCUGAGAGGAUGAUCAGUCACACUGGAACUGAGACACGGUCCAGACUCCUACGGGAGGCAGCAGUGGGGAAUAUUGGACAAUGGGCGAAAGCCUGAUCCAGCCAUGCCGCGUGUGUGAAGAAGGUCUUCGGAUUGUAAAGCACUUUAAGUUGGGAGGAAGGGUUGUAGAUUAAUACUCUGCAAUUUUGACGUUACCGACAGAAUAAGCACCGGCUAACUCUGUGCCAGCAGCCGCGGUAAUACAGAGGGUGCAAGCGUUAAUCGGAAUUACUGGGCGUAAAGCGCGCGUAGGUGGUUUGUUAAGUUGGAUGUGAAAUCCCCGGGCUCAACCUGGGAACUGCAUCCCAAACUGGCAAGCUAGAGUAUGGUAGAGGGUGGUGGAAUUUCCUGUGUAGCGGUG